rnacentral:rRNA from 1 species
UAGGGAAUCUUCCGCAAUGGGCGAAAGCUUGACGGAGCAACGCCGCGUGAGUGAUGAAGGUCUUCGGAUCGUAAAACUCUGUUAUUAGGGAAGAACAAAUGUGUAAGUAACUAUGCACGUCUUGACGGUACCUAAUCAGAAAGCCACGGCUAACUACGUGCCAGCAGUCGCGGUAAUACGUAGGUGGCAAGCGUUAUCCGGAAUUAUUGGGCGUAAAGCGCGCGUAGGCGGUUUUUUAAGUCUGAUGUGAAAGCCCACGGCUCAAACGUGGAGGGUCAUUGGAAACUGGAAAACUUGAGUGCAGAAGAGGAAAGUGGAAUUCCAUGUGUAGCGGUGAAAUGCGCAGAGAUAUGGAGGAACACCAGUGGCGAAGGCGACUUUCUGGUCUGUAACUAACGCUGAUGUGCGAAAGCGUGGGGAUCAAACAGG